rnacentral:rRNA from 1 species
UACAGAGGUCCCAAGCGUUGUUCGGAUUCACUGGGCGUAAAGGGUGCGUAGGUGGUGGGGUAAGUUUGAUGUGAAAUCUCCGAGCUUAACUCGGAAGUGGCAUUGAAUACUAUUCGACUAGAGGUUUGGAGGGGGGACUGGAAUUCUCGGUGUAGCAGUGAAAUGCGUAGAUAUCGAGAGGAACACCGGUGGCGAAGGCGAGUCCCUGGACAACACCUGACACUGAGGCACGAAAGCUAGGGGAGCAAACAGG